CUUCUUCCUCUUCUUCUUCCCCACUUUAAUCACAGCUCAAAGUUGCUCUGUUUCCAAGUGUAUCAACGAUGACUUCGCCAUCAGAUUCCCCUUUCGAAUUCCAGACCAGCAACCUGCAAGAUGUGGCUAUCCUGGUUUCAACUUAGCCUGCAACAAAGCGGGUGUGACGACUGUAAAUCUAUCAGCUUCUGAGUAUUUUUUGGUCAGGGGUAUCGAUUAUGCCACUCAACAAAUACAGCUCUAUGAUUCAGAUGAUUGCCUACCUGGAAGACUUCUUCAAGGCUUCAACAAAAUCAAUUUCUCAAACUCCCCAUUUAUGCCACUUUUUAGUCAGAAUAUUACCUUUCUAAGCUGCCCACCUCGGUUCACAAUGUCGCAUUUUCCCAUCAUUGAUUGUCUUAGCAAUUCAACAACCUCGAUUCUGGCUACUUCCUCAACGAGUUUUGUCAAGUCAAUGUCAACCUCUUGCACGAUCAUGAAAACUUUACCUGUCCCAGUUUCAAACCCAGAUGAGACCAAUCAAUUUUCAACCGACCUCAAUGGUGAUCUCGUGCUAACUUGGGACAGCCCUGCUUGCGGUAUCUGCGAAACAGAAGGCAGGCUUUGUGGGUACAAAAGCAAUAGCGGUCAGGGAAUUUCCUGUUUCGACAAAUACACAUCAGGUAAAGGCUCUGCCCUUAACUAUUUCCUAAGUUUAUGUUUAAACUAUACCAUACCUAAAAGCUCAAAAAUUCAUCUUUUACAAUCGGUGGAAUGAUUUCUUAAACAUCUCUUGUAUCCUAAUUGGUUGAGAAAAAUCUCAAAGCAAAUACGUAAUAAAAUAUUGAAAAAAGAAAAGGAAAAAAAAAAACCCCAUUAUUUUCUUAAAAUCAUAAUAACAAAUCAAUGUCCAAAUAACACUGGCGGUAUUACCUAUUACCCUAAACUGCAGGCUGCUGUAUGAAUCUUCGACUGGCUGUUGGUUGACCAAGACAUAAAUAAUGUUUAUAUUUCUGGGAAAUUGGGAUUAAAGUAAUACCUGAAGAAUAAUUUUUCUUUUUUUUAAAAAAAGUUGACUUUUUAGAUGGUGAAGGAAUGACAAAGACACUUGACAUUUCUUCACUGUUGCACGUCUCUUAAUAAUCUUCAAACGGGAUCAAAUAUGCUUUGACAUUGCUUGGGAACCCCACCCCGCGCCCUCGCACCCACACUCACAGGAAAAAUGCCAUUCAUGAUAUAUUUUGCAAGAAUAUCAAAGUUCAUGAUACCCAAUUAAAUGAUAGUAACCUUAAAUUUCAGAGGAAAACAAUGGUCUCAGAGUGCUGCGGAUUAUCUGUGUGGUGAUUCUUCUUCCGACUUUGAUCUGUGUCUUUGGACUUGGCUGUUUUAUCUGCUUGGCAAAGUGGAGCUAUAGCCUUACAGACGGCAGAGGAAAC
rnacentral:lncRNA from 1 species